GACGAACGCUGGCGGCGUGCCUAACACAUGCAAGUCGAGCGGAGACAUGUUGCGGAAGUUUUCGGAUGGAAGCGAUAUGUUUUAGCGGCGGACGGGUGAGUAACGCGUGAGCAACCUUUCCUUCACAGGGGAAUAACGCACCGAAAGGUGCACUAAUACCGCAUGAGACCACAGCUCUGCAUGGAGCACGUGGGCUAAAAGGAGAAAUCCGGUGAAGGGUGGGCUCGCGUCCGAUUAGCUAGUUGGCAGGGUGAUAGCCUACCAAGGCGACGAUCGGUAGCCGACCUGAGAGGGUGAUCGGCCACAUUGGAACUGAGAUACGGUCCAA
rnacentral:rRNA from 1 species